GGGGCGGGGUGGGGGAGGGGACGGGCACGCGGCUCGGGCUUCUCUUCCCCUCCAAGGCCUCGGAAAAACCAGUGAACCAGGAGCCCGGGGAGGCCGGGCCCACGGCCGGAGCGGUCCUCCGGGAAUUUUAUUUUAUUUUUUGUCGCCCACUUUGUCUAUUGGCUUCCGUUUCAGUUUGGGAGCGAAUCGCCUCGGGCCCUGACGGGGCUCCUGUCUUAGCCAGGGCUAGGAUCGGUCGGCCCGGAGGCCCUUGUCUCCUCGGGGCCUCCAGAGCCACCUCUCAGUAGGUUUCCGGGGCCGAGGACUCAAGUGCCUCCAGGCUGCGCCUUGAAAGUAGCCUGCGCCCACUCUUGGAGCGAGGUGCGGGCCACCAACGGAUUUCUUUUCUGUCUGGUAGUCUAGUGCCAGCCGCCAAAAGAACGGGCCCCACCCCUCCUUGAGUUUAUCGAGUGGCCACUUUUUUGGUUUUAAAGCACCUUUCCUGCUUGUUGGAGCUAGUGAUGAGUUUCACCGUCUGAUCCCCUUUCCGAUUGGGAGGGAUGCUGUAAAGGAUCUCUCCAUUCAUUCUAGGCGGCACCAGCCUUCUUCAUAUUAAAAUAUGCUGCCCUCCUUUUGUUUUCAGUAUUGAUUUUUAAAUACAGUUUUCGAAAUAAGAGUAUGAAGGUUAUCUUGAAGUUAUGUAAUAAUGGAUUUAUAUUGACGUGGAAAUGCCAUUUUGAUACAGGUCAGAGUAAAGCCGACCAAAAGGAGGGAAAAGAUUGGGCUUCUCUUGUAUCAUAGUGCUUUAGUGAAAUAAGGUGAAUCAGGUAGAGGCAGUAUUGUAUAAACAGUUUUUUUGUGUGUUGUCUGUGAGCACCCUCAAUUUCAGUUUCUCUUCAGUUUAAAAAUCUCUUGUUUUUUUUCCCCACAAGUAAGAGGGUCGCUGUAUGAUAUUGAUUCUUGUAAGCCUGUAUAUAGAUUUAAGAAAGGUUGAUAGUUUAACGGGGAGUAUUCACACCACGAAUGUAAUUUUGUGAGAACUUUAAUUUUUUUAUAAAAGAUAUUUCAAAGAGUUCAGUGUUCUCAUAAGACAUUCAAUUGCUCAGUUGUGAUUCAAGCAGACAAUGUGCUUAUUAAACUUUUUUAAGUCUUGAUUUUCUUCAUCAGUAAAAUGAGAGUUACAUUUCGAUCCACUUCACAGGUUGGACUUUGGGACUGGAAAAAAUGUAUGUAAAAUGCUCACUAAAAUUUUGUAUAACAUGAUGUUGGCUUAUACUAAUAAAUGGUGUUACUUAAGAAUUAA
rnacentral:lncRNA from 1 species